rnacentral:rRNA from 1 species
AGCGAACGCUGGCGGCGUGCCUAACACAUGCAAGUCGAACGUGAAACCCCGCAAGGGGGAGUAAAGUGGCGUACGGGUGAGUAAUACGUAGGUAAUCUACCCCAGAGUCUGGAAUAACCGGCCGAAAGGCUGGCUAAUACUGGAUAGAGCGACGGAAUCCGUAAUUGGGUUUUUCGGGAAAGGGAGCUCGCAAGAGCCUUCGCUCUGGGAUGAGCCUGCGUCCCAUCAGCUAGUUGGUAAGGUAACGGCUUACCAAGGCGAUGACGGGUAGCUGGUCUGAGAGGGUGAUCAGCCACACUGGAACUGAAACGCGGUCCAGACUCCUACGGGAGGCAGCAGUGGGGAAUCUUGCGCAAUGGGCGAAAGCCUGACGCAGCCACGCCGCGUGAGUGAAGAAGGCCUUCGGGUUGUAAAGCUCUGUCGGAAGGGACGAAAACUCCUGGUGUUAACAGCAUCAGGAAUUGACGGUACCUUUAGAGGAAGCACCGGCUAACUCUGUGCCAGCCGCCGCAGUAACAC